rnacentral:tRNA from 1 species
GUGCUCCAGGGCCGGCUGUACGGGCUGCGCGGCACCGACCUGCGCCGGCGGGUCGGCGAACUGCUCGACCGGUUCGACCUCGGCGGAGCGGCC